UGGCUUGUAUUAGGCCACCAAUGAAGUGGAAAGGCAUAACAGCCCAAGCAACGAGAGCCAUUCUCCAAUUCACAAUCAAGCUGACGGUGGUGGCAAUUAGAAUGGAGGAGAUGCACUGUACAAUGACAGACAUUCGAUCAGCUAUUAUGGUUUUUAUCAUGGAGGUGGUGUUCAUUAUUUGUGAUGAAAUGAUAUUGACAGUUAAGGAAAAUUGUUUUGGCUCUCCUAGCUUUACCUCUGUUAAGUACUGGUUUGGAAGGUUAGAUAUAAAAGAGUGUGCAUUUGCCAUUACUGCUGCAUUUUCUAUUUGUUGAUCAUUUGCAUCUCGUUUUCCCAUUUUGAUAUUAUCCUUGAUGGUUCCAGCAAAGAGUGCAGGUUCUUGGGAAACUAUUCCAAUGUUUUCCCUGAGAAAUUUCAGAUUCAGAUCCUUGAUGUUCUGAUGAUCUAUGAAAAUAUCUCCUGAAGAAAAAUUGUUUUAAGAUUGACAUGACUAUGAAAAAUAAGAGAGAAAAAGGCAAAGGGCUGAUGGUGGCAUACCCUGAAGAGGGUCAUAGAAUCUAGUGAUAAGGGAGAUGACUGUACUCUUUCCACACCCGCUGCUACCAACUAAGGCAAUAGACUGCCCUGCAGGAAUGGACAAAGUGAAGUCUUCAAGGACGAGUUUAUGAGGACGAGAGGGGUAAGCAAAAUGGACUUUUUGAAUAUUAAUGUGGCCUUCAAUAUCCUCCAACGUCUUCUCGUUUGAACCAUUGAUUGCCGAGGGCUUCCUUUGAAUCACUUGGAAAACUUCCUUCCCUGCAGCCUUUGCCUGGUUGAAUAUUUGCAUGUCUGGUGCAGCGUAAGUCAGCGAGCUGCAACUCACCAAAAAAGAAAAAAGGAGAGAUUUCUCAUUUUAACAUUCUUAGGACUCAAUUGUGUCAAUUGUACAACCGAUAUUAUAGAUCAUGUUCAAUUUUUUACUUACAUUGCUCCAAAGAGAAUGCUCAUAACAGCAGCUAUGAUGUCCCCUCCACUGGCUCUUCCUGCAGUUACAACAACGGCUCCAAUCCAUACAAUGAGACUCCAACAACAGAAAGUCACGGUUUGAAACAUUCCUAUGCCCACUCCCUUAACCAAUGCUUCUUGCUUGCUCAUCACAAUCAUUUUCUCGCAUUGUUCUGCAAAUGCCUUUAUGCUGCUUCUCUCUCCCACAAAUGCAUACACUGCUCUGAUUUGAGAUAUUGACUGUCCCAUACAUAUUAGUUAACAUUUUUGUUCUAUACAUAUCAAAAAGCAACUUAGUUUACAAACAGGUUCUUCAGAUUGACUACAAUGAGUUUUGGCUGUGCCUACGUAGUUUCUGAACUAUAGGUAUGUCUUUAUAUUCUGAAUUUGCAGUUGUGAUUAUUUAUAGUUCUGAAGUACUAAUAAUAUCACGUAUAGAAAUUGAUAUAUUGCCUGAAAAGACGGGCUUAUUGCAUUUGCAUGAUUUUUUAUUUUUA